rnacentral:tmRNA from 1 species
GGGGGCGCAACGGUUUCGACGGGGAUGAAAAGGAGAGGGGCUGCAAGCCGAGCGUGGUUCCGACGACUCGUUAAUCCGACGGGACACCAUAAAAAAUAACUGCGAACGACAAUCUCGCACUGGCCGCGUAAUUAAACGCGGCCCGCUCCCCUUCGGCCCGCCCAUGGCCGCUGGAUGAGCGCCAUUCAAUGGGCUAGCCGCGAGGCCCCCCGCCUGAGGGCCCAAGGCGAAAUCGACCAGGCUGGUUCCGAGCCAGGCUAGCCGGCUUGCCCGGCGCGGGACGAGAAUCGAAAGCCGGACAAGCUUGUAGAGGCCGCUCAAGUUGCAUCUUCGGACGUGGGUUCGACUCCCACCGCCUCCACCA